UACGUAGGGCGCAAGCGUUGUCCGGAAUUAUUGGGCGUAAAGAGCUCGUAGGCGGUUUGUCGCGUCUGCUGUGAAAACCCGAGGCUCAACCUCGGGUCUGCAGUCGAUACGAGCAAACUAGAGUGUUGCAGGGGAGACUGGAAUUCCUGGUGUAGCGGUGAAAUGCGCAGAUAUCAGGAGGAACACCGGUGGCGAAGGCGGGUCUCUGGGCAACAACUGACGCUGAGGAGCGAAAGCGUGGGGAGCGAACAGG
rnacentral:rRNA from 1 species